rnacentral:rRNA from 1 species
GAUAAGGAGCUUGCUCCUUUGACGUUAGCGGCGGACGGGUGAGUAACACGUGGGUAACCUACCUAUAAGACUGGGAUAACUUCGGGAAACCGGAGCUAAUACCGGAUAACAUUUGGAACCGCAUGGUUCUAAAGUGAAAGAUGGUUUUGCUAUCACUUAUAGAUGGACCCGCGCCGUAUUAGCUAGUUGGUAAGGUAACGGCUUACCAAGGCGACGAUACGUAGCCGACCUGAGAGGGUGAUCGGCCACACUGGAACUGAGACACGGUCCAGACUCCUACGGGAGGCAGCAGUAGGGAAUCUUCCGCAAUGGGCGAAAGCCUGACGGAGCAACGCCGCGUGAGUGAUGAAGGGUUUCGGCUCGUAAAACUCUGUUAUUAGGGAAGAACAAAUGUGUAAGUAACUGUGCACGUCUUGACGGUACCUAAUCAGAAAGCCACGGCUAACUACGUGCCAGCAGCCGCGGUAAUACGUAGGUGGCAAGCGUUAUCCGGAAUUAUUGGGCGUAAAGCGCGCGUAGGCGGUUUCUUAAGUCUGAUGUGAAAGCCCACGGCUCAACCGUGGAGGGUCAUUGGAAACUGGGAAACUUGAGUGCAGAAGAGGAAAGUGGAAUUCCAUGUGUAGCGGUGAAAUGCGCAGAGAUAUGGAGGAACACCAGUGGCGAAGGCGACUUUCUGGUCUGUAACUGACGCUGAUGUGCGAAAGCGUGGGGAUCAAACAGGAUUAGAUACCCUGGUAGUCCACGCCGUAAACGAUGAGUGCUAAGUGUUAGGGGGUUUCCGCCCCUUAGUGCUGCAGCUAACGCAUUAAGCACUCCGCCUGGGGAGUACGACCGCAAGGUUGAAACUCAAAGGAAUUGACGGGGACCCGCACAAGCGGUGGAGCAUGUGGUUUAAUUCGAAGCAACGCGAAGAACCUUACCAAAUCUUGACAUCCUUUGAAAACUCUAGAGAUAGAGCCUUCCCCUUCGGGGGACAAAGUGACAGGUGGUGCAUGGUUGUCGUCAGCUCGUGUCGUGAGAUGUUGGGUUAAGUCCCGCAACGAGCGCAACCCUUAAGCUUAGUUGCCAUCAUUAAGUUGGGCACUCUAGGUUGACUGCCGGUGACAAACCGGAGGAAGGUGGGGAUGACGUCAAAUCAUCAUGCCCCUUAUGAUUUGGGCUACACACGUGCUACAAUGGACAAUACAAAGGGCAGCUAAACCGCGAGGUCAUGCAAAUCCCAUAAAGUUGUUCUCAGUUCGGAUUGUAGUCUGCAACUCGACUACAUGAAGCUGGAAUCGCUAGUAAUCGUAGAUCAGCAUGCUACGGUGAAUACGUUCCCGGGUCUUGUACACACCGCCCGUCACACCACGAGAGUUUGUAACACCCGAAGCCGGUGGAGUAACCA